GUUAAGUCAGAUGUGAAAGCCCGGGGCUCAACCUCGGAAUUGCAUUUGAAACUGGCAAACUAGAGUACUGUAGAGGGGGUAGGAAUUUCAGGUGUAGCGGUGAAAUGCGUAGAGAUCUGAAGGAAUACCGGUGGCGAAGGCGGCCCCCGUCGGACAGAUACUGACACUCAGAUGCGAAAGCGUGGGGAGCAAACAGGAUUAGAUACCCUGGUAG
rnacentral:rRNA from 1 species